UACAGAGGUCCCAAGCGUUGUUCGGAUUUAUUGGGCGUAAAGGGUGCGUAGGUGGCAAAGUAAGUUGGAUGUGAAAUCCUGGGGCUCAACCUCAGAAUUGCAUUCAAUACUGCUUAGCUAGAGAGCUGUAGAGGAGACUGGAAUUUACGGUGUAGCAGUGAAAUGCGUAGAUAUCGUAAGGAACGCCAGUGGCGAAAGCGAGUCUCUGGGCAGCAUCUGACACUGAGGCACGAAGGCCAGGGGAGCAAACGGG
rnacentral:rRNA from 1 species